rnacentral:rRNA from 1 species
CCUACGGGUGGCUGCAGUGGGGAAUAUUGCACAAUGGGCGCAAGCCUGAUGCAGCCAUGCCGCGUGUGUGAAGAAGGCCUUCGGGUUGUAAAGCACUUUCAGCGGGGAGAAAGGCGGUGAGGUUAAUAACCUCAUCGAUUGACGUUACCCGCAGAAGAAGCACCGGCUAACUCCGUGCCAGCAGCCGCGGUAAUACGGAGGGUGCAAGCGUUAAUCGGAAUUACUGGGCGUAAAGCGCACGCAGGCGGUCUGUCAAGUCGGAUGUGAAAUCCCCGGGCUCAACCUGGGAACUGCAUUCGAAACUGGCAGGCUAGAGUCUUGUAGAGGGGGGUAGAAUUCCAGGUGUAGCGGUGAAAUGCGUAGAGAUCUGGAGGAAUACUGGUGGCGAAGGCGGCCCCCUGGACAAAGACUGACGCUCAGGUGCGAAAGCGUGGGGAGCAAACAGGAUUAGAUACCCUAGUAGUC